rnacentral:rRNA from 1 species
AGUGAACGCUGGCGGCAGGCCUAACACAUGCAAGUCGAACGGCAGCACAGGAGAGCUUGCUCUCUGGGUGGCGAGUGGCGGACGGGUGAGGAAUACGUCGGAAUCUGCCUAUUUGUGGGGGAUAACGUAGGGAAACUUACGCUAAUACCGCAUACGACCUACGGGUGAAAGCGGAGGACCUUCGGGCUUCGCGCAGAUAGAUGAGCCGACGUCGGAUUAGCUAGUUGGCGGGGAAAGGCCCACCAAGGCGACGAUCCGUAGCUGGUCUGAGAGGAUGAUCAGCCACACUGGAACUGAGACACGGUCCAGACUCCCGAC